CCACCAGCGCCACGAGUGGGAAUCAUGUAUUUGGCCUAAAGCGUUCGUAGCCUGUCUCGUAAGUUCUGGGUGAAAUUGCUCUGCUUAACAGACCAACGUGCUCAGAAUACUGCGAGACUUGAGACCGGGAGGCGUUAGAAGUAUUCUGGGGGGACUGGUAAAAUGGUAUAAUCCCCAGAGGACUACCUGUGGCGAAGGCGUCUAACGAGAACGGGUCUGACGGUCAGGAACGAAAGCUAGGGGAGCAAACGGGAUUAGAAACCCCAGUAGUCC
rnacentral:rRNA from 1 species